AAAGUUAUCCUAAACAAGGCAGAAAAUAAAGUAAAAUCAUCUAAUCCCACUACUAUUACCCAACAAGAUGAUAAAAAGGUCUCAAAUGUGAUCACAAACAAUAGCAGUGAUGUGGGAAUUAAUGGAAGUAAGGUGAUGAUGCCUUCAUUCCCCAAUCAAGUUUCCCAAGAAAUUUCCCAAAUGCAGAUGUCUGGAGUUGAAAAGAAUGAU
rnacentral:misc_RNA from 1 species